GGCCAUAUCACGUUGAAACACCGGUUCUCGUCCGAUCACCGAUGUUAAGCAAUGUUGAGCCUGCUCAGUACCUAGUUUGGUG